rnacentral:rRNA from 1 species
UACGUAGGGUGCGAGCGUUGUCCGGAAUUACUGGGCGUAAAGAGCUCGUAGGUGGUUUGUCGCGUUGUCCGUGAAAACUCACAACUCAAUUGUGGGCGUGCGGGCGAUACGGGCAGACUGGAGUACUGUAGGGGAGACUGGAAUUCCUGGUGUAGCGGUGAAAUGCGCAGAUAUCAGGAGGAACACCGGUGGCGAAGGCGGGUCUCUGGGCCGAUACUGACGCUGAGGAGCGAAAGCGUGGGGAGCGAACAGG